GCCUAUGCGCAAUUGCAAUCGAGAGUGGUUUGUAUCUGAAUGAUCCUUCUUUCCUUUGUGUUUGUGCAUCAAAACUCAGUGAAUGCGAAUGGUCCAUUCUCCAUUUUUGCUUCAUUUUUCCACUUUGUUGUUAGUUUGUUUCGUCAGAUCCAACAUUCACUCAAUUCAUCAGGAUCCACUAAUUCUAAAAGGGUCAGAUUCCUUCCCAUUAUUUUUGAUAAUAUUUAGGCGAAGAUGCCAGAAUCAAUAGAACUUAAUAACCCAUCUUCCUCUUUGAUGGAAGUUGAAAGUGAUGCCUCAGCAGCUGAGUCGGACUCAGUUCCUGAGCUGGAGAAGGGCCGAAAGGAUCUUUUGGAGAAGAAGGGCCUUCUGUUGAUAUGGCCAGCAAAACCAAACAAUCCCUCUGGAAGAAGAAAUCCAGGAAACGUAUGUCAACGCUCGGUCUCAAACCGUUGGUUACACCAUAAGAGGAAAGUGUCAAAACAAAAUUUGAUGAAUUUGGAAUUGAUGACAAGGAUAUCGAUUUGGUCAUUGCGUAGACAAAUUACAGUAUUGGAAAAGGAAUUGAAGGACUUGAUUAAAUCUAAUAAACAAAAAUGACUUGUCAACGCGAUCAUGGCAAAUAUUCAGUUUAAAUCCUGCAGGUUCGGGUGCAGCAAGGUUGCCCCACCACUGAACUCAACCUGUGCAGCGCUCGUAACGCGGCCAAAGGAUAAGCUCACUUACUGACAAACCUCAUAACCUGAUUAGCCUCGGAUAGGACCGGAAAUAUGGAUCAUAAAAAAGGACUGUCAAAUAAACAACGAUAUGGAAUAACGGAGUAAGAAGAGAUCGCGGACGUCUCAGGGAGAGAUUGGUUAAUUUUAGUGGCACAGAGGUUCCGAACAGGCAUUAAUACCUAACCCGUGAGAGGAAGAAGAAUAUUAUAGUUGUAAUACAAGUUUUCAGUCCAUCUCCCUCAUUGACGAAGUUUUAAUUGACGGCUCAGCAUUUGUGUCAGUCAGCUCACUCAGUUCCUGAAAGCUUUCGAUAUGCGAGAGGUGAAGAAGGGCCUUCUGUGAGCAGUGCUAUGAGCAGUUUAUUUCACGGAGAGGAUAUAAACAAUUAUCACGAAUGAUUGGAAUCUUAUCGACUACUGUACAUUGAAUUACUAUCAAGACUGAGAAGAAAUGAUACUAGACAAAUCAGCUUUACCUGAAAUCCCGUAGAUACAAGGAGUCUCAAGUGGAACAAGACGCAAUUGAAAACGUUUUGUCUUCAAGAACCAGAUGUUUUCAGUAAUCCAGGAGGCUAUUUGAUACGUGGUUUCGGUGAAGCUGAGAUAUUCAGAUGGAAUAUAUCGGACAAGGCCAGAGGCACUGCUGAAUAGUUGAAAGAACAUAAAGUGUCCGCCGCAACAGCUGCUGGAGGUUGUAAUAUGUUCGUUACUCGAAGAGGAAAGUUCCAGUUGACGAGGAAACGGUGAAGGAACCGCUGACAAUCACUUGGUGAAGUCACAAAAGAAUGUCAUAUUACAAUGAUCAUUGUGAGUAUUGGUUGAACAUGAUGCCAUAAAUAAUUAUUUACAGCUAGUUAUUUGUAGACUUUCUGUAUUUUAUAUAAAAACGUCAAGUAGCUCACAGAAAACCAACAACAAACGGUGAUGUAGAAAUAAAUCAUGGAGGAAUUUAAUAGAUAUUCAUCAAUAACUCACGAAUUACAAUUGAAUAUCUUCAAGGAAAGAACACAGAUAGGAUGCAAAGCACUAUCAUAAGUGAACUUUGUAACAUGCUAGAUGAUUAUUGUCAGGCACGAUACAGGAGGCAAAAAUGUAGACUGAAUACACAAAUAUUCAAACGUAAUAUUUUUGCUGUACUCUGUUCUGGCUUUAAGCAUAGAAACUACCUUGAUCCAAUAUUACUUGCCAAUUAAGCUUGAUCGGUAAACAGAUGCAUAAUAACAUUGGCAAAGCCGGUCUUGAUAUUUGUUUUAUUACAUUAUUUUUCAUAGGUAUCAUUCAAUUGUAAUUUGAAUAGUAACUUUAAUACUUUAGGCUUUCUUGUAAGUUAGUAGAAUUGAUGGUGAUGUUGUGAAAUCUCUCCAUAAUAAGAAAACAAAGAUAUUGUCUCCUCAGGAUUCCUCAGUACAGCUGAUGAUGCGUUGGUACUGUUUUAAUAAAUUUUUAGUGAAAUUUGACAAUAUCUUUGUUUUCCUAUUUUGUUCUAAGUGUUUAUUAGAUAGGUAGGUGUUCUAGUAUUUUGACUGGACACCAAUGACCAUGCUGUCUGGUAUUGUAAUACCCACUUACUGGUGUGUCAUGAUCUUUGUUAAUAAUUGUAAAAAGUUUAUUGUAAAGAUUUUUAUUUUUUGAAUGUUGACUAGAUAUCCAUCAGUAAUAAUAUUUAUAUAACAUUUACUGUACUGCUUAUAGAAUGAAUCCUAAAUUCAACAUAAAUUUCAAUUCAAUUUAUUUAUUUUCCAAAAAACAUGAUACAAUGUUUAAUGUGAAAUACAAUACAUUAUAGUGAGUACUAUACUAUAUACCACGUUAUAAUGGCAGUGGAGAAAGAUAGGAGAAAAACGUUGCCGACCCUCUGUCUUGUCAAUGCCUUCAAUAACUGUUUCUGAUACAGGUUUAAUUAUGUAAUAUUAACGGUCCAUUCUCGUUUAAAAUAAUCAAUUAUAUUUCAUUAAGCAAGAAAUUAUAUUUUACAAUAAUUUCAUAAUGAAUUUUCAUGAUUAAGAUAAAUAUUUUGUUAAUUAUUAAUUCUACAUUGUUAAAAGACGAUCAUGCCAACUGUGCGGUCGGGUAUAGUUAAUAUAAAUAUUAUAAAUAAUAAAUAUAAUUAAUAUAAAAACGCUCUACUUCAUCAUUUUAAAAAUACACAUUCAGUCUCCAGCGUCAGCAUUUCGCUUUUCUGUGGAGAACUUUUCAAAUGCAACAUUUGUAACAUCAUC